GGAGAUGAUGAUGGCUCGAGGAAGAUUUCUGAGGAAAACGUACAACAACGGCAGGCUGAUUACAACUGCAGACUUUUGACUGCUCCACAUGAAUUUUAAAGUCCUUCAGGUUUCUACUGGUUGGAGGGGAUCUGUGUCCACAUUCCUGCUCUCCACGACAUGCAUUCUCAUUCUCAGACAUGGCGACGGUUGCUAAACCAACAGCCCCUGGCAGUGUUGGUACUGGGAGGGUUAGCCCUAAGCCAAUGUGCAGCGUGGGAAACGCCCGAUUACUGUGCAGCCUGGUCCGACGGACAGCCUCACGCAUUGCUCCACCUGUGAUGAGGCAGACAGAUGUGUGGCCACAGUGUCAAGUGACCAUGGCACCCCCCCCAGCUGACCAUUCUCGCUGGCCAGCUGGGGGGCGCUCACUUGUUAAACAGCAUUAAACGGCUCUUUAUGCUUAAUAACUCAGUACUGCCAAUAAUACAGAACAUGACAACAAUUACAUGUGCAUACUUUCUUGUCUGCUGUUAAUAUUCCUGUAGCUUUGAUGCAUUUAAACUAGACCUAGGCAACAACCUAAAACAGCGUUUUUUUAAACAGCUAAAGUGAGAGGUUGUAGCAAUGCCCGUUUGAAGAAGAAGUUUGAUUAUUUUGAACUGUGAAUCAUGCAAAAAUAUCUAUUGCAAGAAUAAAACUAUGGAUCUGAUAAUCUACAUGAUGGGUCCCCUUUAAGAUGGAUUGCUUUUAAUAUUUGAGACAGUUGGCAUCUGAGUUUGCCUUUAAAUAUUCUGCUGCAUAUUCCAGCAUCAGUUAAACAUCACAAAGCAGCUUGCUCAUGCUGGUUUGACAUUUCUAUGAAGAAGAAUAGAUUUAUUUUUUUUAAACCAUGUGAGUAGCCACACAUUGCACAAGUCAUGUCAUCCACCUCAGGCCUUAUGUUGACCCGUGUCUCAACUCGACAGAAUUCCUGUUAAACUCUUCUGAUCAGGCUUAAAAAUCAGUGGAACGCCCAAUUUGAUAGUAACCUUUACAGAUUCCUAUGACAGCGAAGUCUGACUCAUCACAGCUCCUUUUGUUUUUCUUUUCUGAUAUGAUAUGACAUUUUUACAGGACUUAGUGACCUUUGAUAUUUAAAGGGGGAGAAAAAAA